rnacentral:tRNA from 2 species
GGAGAGAUGGCCGAGAGGACGAAGGCGGUCGACUCGAAAUCGACUAGGCGGUUCGAAGCCGCCUCGUGGGUUCGAAUCCCACUCUCUCCGCCA